ensembl:lncRNA
CAGGGUCCAGCUCCAGCAGCCAGGGAAUCAGCCUGAAGGGGUGAGCGGUGUCAACGGAUGAUGAUGUAACCUCUGACUCAUGAAAAAGACAUAACCAGGACAGUAAACACUGUCCUUACCUGGCACCCUUAGAAGCUGACAAAUAAACACCAGGCUGUGGAAUUCCUGGGAACUCUCCUUCCUUCAUCCCCAGGUACUAAUGUCUGGAGCCUGGUCCAGGCCCUGGGUUUCAAGCAGGAUCAGACAAGCCCCUGCCCUCAUGGAGCCUGCGCUCUGUGGGGAGGAAGACACACAAGCAGAGAGAUGGAGAGUGUGCUGGCAAGUGCUACAGGUGUCACGCAGGAACCGGAGCGGGGAAGGAUCAGCAGUGAGCACAGAGGGUCUUUACAGCAGCUGGUCGUUGUGGGGUCAUCUCCCAAGAGGCCCUGAGUUCUCACUCCUAAACUUCUGGCCCCCACCCACCACUGGACAACUCCCUGUUAAACUGUUGCCCCACCUUGCCAAAGAAGGGACGGAUGUUCUCCUACUUGCUCACAGUCUGCCAGAGAAGCCUCUAGGCUAUGCCUGCCUGGCACAGAGGAGAAAGGGUAGACAGCACCCAGCUAACUGCAUCAUACAGAGUAGACUCUAAUGCACCUACCAAAGGCUCUGCCCACAGUGGUCGGGAGACACUUCACCCCAACAGGACCCUGCUGAUCCAGAACGUCGUCCAGAAAGGCACAGGGUCCUACACGCUGCCCGUUGCAAAGAAUGAUUUACAAACAGAAAGACAAAUCGGACAUCUCUGUGUAUACUGUGAGUGCUUCCUAUCUGACCUCGGAGUUUAGGGGGAGGGGGGUGAGUUCUAUUCACACACUGUGGCGUUAAAAUGUGGAGCUGAGACUCAGAACACCUCCUACAUGUGGUGGAUCAACAAUCAGAGCCUCCCCAGCAGCACCAGGCUGGAACUGUCUGAGGACCACAGGAUUCUCACUGUACUCGCUGUGACAAGCAAUGACAGAGGACCCUAUGUGUGCGAAGUCAGGAGCCCAGUGAGUGUCAGCCACAGUGACCCAUUCACCCUGGAUGUCCUCUGUGAGUAACCUCUGUUCCUAUGUGGUCCAGGCUGCCUACCCAAAUCCACGCUGCCAGAGGCCAGGCCAUACCCAUCCCUGUCAGGCCUAGGCACACGGACUCCCACC